AGCACAUCCUAAACUUACCCAAAACUUGUUCACUUGAGGCAUAGACAUGACAUACCAUACCUGCUAUUAGUUGAGACGUAGUGUUCCACUUUUAAUUCUUCUACUCCUCUAAAUCUUCCUCUCACCUCUUGAGUUUGCCACAUAUCCUCAACCACAGAGUGGAUUUUUUUUUUUAGUUAUGGAAUAUCAUAACGUUAAAAUACCUGUACAUAAAACAUGAAUCAUCAACUGUUGUGCUACUAACUGGGUCUACCUGUACAGGUAUGUGGUCUGAGUUGAGGCUGAUUGAAGGCAUUGCUUGUUUACACCUGUUUUAUGUCAUACAGUAACUUGGGUGGACCCAGGGUAUUGUUACCUGCUUUACACCUGUGAUCUAACUGGUUUGGCAGGAGCCUGUGAGCCUACAGUGUUGUCUGUAAGAUCUAUUGUACAUUUGUCCUCCUUCAGAUGCACUAGCAUUAUUACUGGAAUUUACAACACAAAUUACUGUAGAUAGAUGCACAUUUUCGAGGAAGCAUGUUCAUUGUCUUCAUUUUGCCUAUGCUGAAGAAUGGAAGGAAUCAUGCAGAAUUAAAACAUACUUUCAAGGUCGGAUCCGUCACAAAACAUCUCCAUCUAAAUAAAGCAACAGUUACCUAACACUUGGGAAAGCCUUCUUGUAAAUAAAUAAAAUGGACAAGCUUUUAAUCUGCCAAGUUAUACAAGAGAAGUCGAUUGACAAAUGAAAUCUGUGAAGCUUGCAAUGGAAAAUCCCCUAUCUGCCUCACUCACUGAACCAGACAAAUAGAGCCAUAGUUGCUAGGACACGAGUUAAUCACGACAAAACUGCUUCUCUUUAGGUCAAGAACACUGCGCAUGACAGCAUAUUCAUCACACUACAUAGAUUGCACUGAAAAGGUCUUUAAUUGCAUUUGGAAAAUCAAUAAAUAGUUGCAAAUUUUCCACAGAGAAACUGGAUCACCUGUUCUAAACUUUAAAAAAGUGCUUUUGCAUUGGAAACUAGUAAAAUGAAAUCAACUUGCCAUUACAUUCUGCUAAGCAAUUCCUUUAGUGUUU
rnacentral:lncRNA from 1 species